rnacentral:rRNA from 1 species
GAUGAACGCUGGCGGCGUGCCUCAAACAUGCAAGUCGAGCGAGGCUAUGAAUUACCGCAAGGUAAGGCAUAGCCUAGCGGCGAACGGGCGAGUAACACGUGGGUAACCUACCUGGAAGACAGGGAUAACGAUUCGAAAGGGUCGCUAAUACCUGAUAAUAUCCAUCUGCCGGAUGGCGGAGGGAAGAAAGGGGAAACCCGCUUUCAGAUGGGCCCGCGUCCCAUCAGCUAGUUGGUAAGGUAAAGGCUUACCAAGGCGACGACGGGUAGCCGGUCUGAGAGGAUGUACGGCCACACUGGGACUGAGAUACGGCCCAGACUCCUACGGGAGGCAGCAGUUGGGAAUCUUAGGCAAUGGACGAAAGUCUGACCUAGCGACGCCGCGUGAGGGAAGAAGGCCUUCGGUUGUAAACCUCUGUCAUGGGGAAGAAGGAAGUGACGGUACCCAACGAGGAAGCCCUGCUAACUACGUG